rnacentral:misc_RNA from 1 species
AUCUGUUUAUACAAGCCUCUAAGGGGGAUGGAAGAUAUUCUUUCUUUGAUCAGAUUAUGCGAUUGAAGGUUUUCAGUUUUCCUCGUAGGGCUUGUAGCUCAGUCGGUUAGAGCGCGCGCUUGAUAAGCGUGAGGUCGGAGGUUCAAGUCCUCCCAGGCCCACCAGUUCCGCUAUGCUGUACUUUGCUCUGAUAAGCUGAGAAGGUGCUCAGUGAGACUGAUCGUAAUCCCUUUUUGGAUAAUUCCUUAAAAGAAUUUAUUGCCUCAAUCAAUUUUUUCUAAAAGUGUUUAGAACCUCCAUAGAAACUUAAAGCUUUCUAGAGCAAUGAACUCUUCAUGAGAAAUUUGGACCCUUUGUGAGAAAGUAUUGUCUCUCCUUUUCAAUAAGGGACAAAACAGGGAAAAGAGCAGGCCAAUAUUGUGUCUCUGUUUGUUUUAAAAAGCCUCUGUUUUUUAGAAUAUAGCGUUUUUAAAAGAGCAAGAUGUGAGGGAGUUUUAGCUGUUUUAGGGGCCGUAGCUCAGCUGGGAGAGCACC